rnacentral:rRNA from 1 species
GAUGAACGCUGGCGGCGUGCCUAAUACAUGCAAGUCGAGCGAACGGACGCGACGCUUGCUUCUCUGAUGUUAGCGGCGGACGGGUGAGUAACACGUGGAUAACCUACCUAUAAGACUGGGAUCACUUCGGGAAACCGGAGCUCAUACCGGAUAAUAUUUUGAACCGCAUGGUUCAAAAGUGAAAGACGGUCUUGCUGUCCCUUAUAGAUGGAUCCGCGCUGCAUUAGCUAGUUGGUAAGGUAACGGCUUACCAAGGCAACGAUGCAUAGCCGACCUGAGAGGGUGAUCGGCCACACUGGAACUGAGACACGGUCCAGACUCCUACGGGAGGCAGCAGUAGGGAAUCUUCCGCAAUGGGCGAAAGCCUGACGGAGCAACGCCGCGUGAGUGAUGAAGGUCUUCGGAUCGUAAAACUCUGUUAUUAGGGAAGAACAUAUGUGUAAGUAACUGUGCACAUCUUGACGGUACCUAAUCAGAAAGCCACGGCUAACUACGUG